rnacentral:rRNA from 1 species
GAGCGGCGGACGGGUGAGUAACGCGUGGGUAACCUGCCUCAUACAGGGGGAUAACAGUUAGAAAUGGCUGCUAAUACCGCAUAAGCGCACAGGACCGCAUGGUCUGGUGUGAAAAACUCCGGUGGUAUGGGAUGGACCCGCGUUGGAUUAGCUAGUUGGUGGGGUAACGGCCCACCAAGGCGACGAUCAGUAGCCGACCUGAGAGGGUGAUCGGCCACAUUGGAACUGAGACACGGUCCAAACUCCUACGGGAGGCAGCAGUGGGGAAUAUUGCACAAUGGGCGCAAGCCUGAUGCAGCAACGCCGCGUGAGCGAUGAAGGCCUUCGGGUCGUAAAGCUCUGUCCUCAAGGAAGAUAAUGACGGUACUUGAGGAGGAAGCCCCGGCUAACUACGUGCCAGCAGCCGCGGUAAUACGUAGGGGGCUAGCGUUAUCCGGAUUUACUGGGCGUAAAGGGUGCGUAGGCGGUCUUUCAAGUCAGGAGUUAAAGGCUACGGCUCAACCGUAGUAAGCUCCUGAUACUGUCUGACUUGAGUGCAGGAGAGGAAAGCGGAAUUCCCAGUGUAGCGGUGAAAUGCGUAGAUAUUGGGAGGAACACCAGUAGCGAAGGCGGCUUUCUGGACUGUAACUGACGCUGAGGCACGAAAGCGUGGGGAGCAAACAGGAUUAGAUACCCUGGUAGUCCACGCUGUAAACGAUGAGUACUAGGUGUCGGAGGUUACCCCCUUCGGUGCCGCAGUUAACACAAUAAGUAUUCCACCUGGGGAGUACGACCGCAAGGUUGAAACUCAAAGGAAUUGACGGGGGCCCGCACAAGCAGUGGAUUAUGUGGUUUAAUUCGACGCAACGCGAAGAACCUUACCAAGUCUUGACAUCCCUCUGACCGCACCUUAACCGGUGCUUUCCUUCGGGACAGAGGAGACAGGUGGUGCAUGGUUGUCGUCAGCUCGUGUCGUGAGAUGUUGGGUUAAGUCCCGCAACGAGCGCAACCCCUAUCCUUAGUAGCCAGCAGUUCGGCUGGGCACUCUGAGGAGACUGCCAGGGAUAACCUGGAGGAAGGCGGGGAUGACGUCAAAUCAUCAUGCCCCUUAUGAUUUGGGCUACACACGUGCUACAAUGGCGUAAACAAAGGGAAGCGAGAGGGUGACGUGGAGCAAAUCCCAAAAAUAACGUCCCAGUUCGGACUGUAGUCUGCAACCCGACUACACGAAGCUGGAAUCGAGAGUAAUCGCGGAUCAGAAUGCCGCGGUGAA